rnacentral:rRNA from 1 species
UACGUAGGGUGCGAGCGUUAAUCGGAAUUACUGGGCGUAAAGCGUGCGCAGGCGGUUUAGUAAGACAGGCGUGAAAUCCCCGGGCUCAACCUGGGAACUGCGCUUGUGACUGCUAAGCUAGAGUACGGCAGAGGGGGGUGGAAUUCCACGUGUAGCAGUGAAAUGCGUAGAGAUGUGGAGGAACACCGAUGGCGAAGGCAGCCCCCUGGGCCGAUACUGACGCUCAUGCACGAAAGCGUGGGUAGCAAACAGGAUUAGAUACCCUGGUAGUCCACGCCCUAAACGAUGUCAACUAGGUGUUGGGAGGGUAAAACCUUUUAGUACCGGAGCUAACGCGUGAAGUUGACCGCCUGGGGAGUACGGCCGCAAGGUUAAA